rnacentral:rRNA from 1 species
ACGGGGUGCAGCAGGCGCGAAAACUCCGCAAUGCGCGCAAGCGUGACGGGGGAAUCCCAAGUACCGUUGGUCUUAUGAUCGACGGUUUUUAGGAAGUCUAAGAAGCUUCCAGAAUAAGGGCUGGGCAAGACUGGUGCCAGCCGCCGCGGUAACACCAGCAGCCCAAGUGGUGACCACGAUUAUUGGGCCUAAAGCGCUCGUAGCCGGAUCAGCAAGUCCCUUGUGAAAUCGGGCCGCCUAACGGUUCGGCGUGCAAGGGAUACUGUUGGUCUUGAGGCCGGGAGAGGUCGGAGGUACUCCUGGGGUAGCGGUGAAAUGCUCUAAUCCUAGGGGGACCACCAGUGGCGAAGGCGUCCGACCAGAACGGACCUGACGGUGAGGGGCGAAGGCUAGGGGAGCGAACGGGAUUAGAUACCCCGGUAGUCCUAGCUGUAAAGCAUGCGGGCCAGGUGUCUAGCGCUCCUUGAGGGCGCUAGGUGCCGGAGGGAAGCCGUUAAGCCCGCCGCCUGGGAAGUACGGCCGCAAGGCUGAAACUUAAAGAGAUUGGCGGGGGAGCACCACAAGAGGUGGGACCUGCGGUUCAAUUGGAUUCAACGCCGGANAACUCACCAGGGGCGACAGCUGGUUGACGGCCAGAUUGACGAUCUUGCCCGACUAGCUGAGAG